GGCGGCUGCUUCUUCCACCAACAUCCUGCAAUCCACAGUCAGCCUCCUCGUGGGGUCUCUCGCCCUUCUUCUUCAUCUCUACUGUUAAGAUGCUCAGGCCUGGAAACAUCUUCCUGUCUCCAACCCAGCACAGGCGACAUGGAGAAGCGUCAGAAGACCCUGGAAUCGUAGGCGAGUAUGGAUGUGACAUCUUACAGCGCUCCAAGGACAGAGGGCAGUCCAACUUGUAGCCAGCCACAUUUCCCACGAAGCAAUGUGGACUCUCCAAACUCUACCUGGAGAAAAACAUUAGUUUUCACCUUGAUGUAGAGAAGGAUGGGAGGUAGACUGCAGGUGGUUUCCAUUGUGUUCCACCAGAUCUGUAAGGCCAUAAAAACCAAUCCUUAACCA